UACACUAUCAGAGCUGGGACAUCAGUACAACAACUACUUGAAUUUCACACUUCUGGAGCUUCAGAAUCAUUCCGUGUGGAAAGUUUGUUUUGUGAGCAUGGACAUAAGUCAGAAAUAAAAAUUUUAAAAGUCCAUUAAAAAAAGAAAAAGGAAGAUAGUGUCCGGGUGAAGGCCAAGAACCUGGGCCACUCUGGGGGCACAGCUUUGAACUGUUUCCACCAAGGUAAGUCAGCUCUCCUGUGCCUCUGUGCUGGUGUCUUACCACUCAAGAUUCAAAUUCUAGGGAGAGAAAGUCUGUAUGAGACUGAGGCAGAUGACAACACCUUUGACAGGGGACAGGGAACAAGUCACUACCUUGGCUGACAAUCUCACCAAGACUGCAUCUGACAGGGGAUGGGCAGUUCCUAAGGUAAGUUUGUGGGGCUAUAACCAAAAGCGGGAAGUCUGCACAGUGUGCCGGCAAAAGCAAGAACUACCACAAGUACUAUAACUCCAGGGCCUUCUACAUUCUUAUUUCUCUGAACAGAAACACAGGGAGAUGGCAGGUCUGGCUUCCUGAAAAAGUCAAAUGACCUAAAAUGUGAAGAACAAAGUUCAUUGUAUCUGUCCCUGACUCAGCCUUCUUGAAGUUUGACCUAAUCUGACGCACUGGUGGGUCAGGCUCUCACUCACUUGUUGUACCUGGGCUUUAACAGUGUCUUCACCUUCUUGUAUUCCACACUGAGCAGUCUAGCUCUAUCCAAGUCAGGAUGCAUGACAAAGAAGUGCAAGGCAUCAGCAUCCCAGGGCAGGGGCCCUCUGUGACAAAGCAGGCCACACAGUGGCUCUGGAGGCGUCUGUCAUCCCCGCUAAACAGGUAUCACUGAGCAGGGUGAUACAGAUUGGAAAAGUGAAUGCCCUUGCUUUCUUCUUCAACAUCUCAGUCAUGGCUGAAGCCGAAGUAAAGACACAGCACUUAUGGGACAGGCUGGCGACUGCAGCCAUCAGGCUGCUGUCACACAAAAGAAAUCUGCAAAGAGAGCAGAGGAAAUCCUGGGGCAUGGAGCUAAGACUCCAAGACUCCUGAGACUGCACUGGUCUUGUCUGCACCAACAGAGGGGCACAUGUGUAUCUGGAACUGAACUGGAAGUCAAACAAAGGCAUCUCUCCAUAUGCAGGUGAAAGAACCUGUACUGUUUCUGGAAGUAUGGCCUGGAAGCCACAGUUCUUCCUGUUCUAUUGGAACCAGCUUCCCUAGACAACCAGGUUAGCCCAAGAAAACGUCAGGCUCUUAGAUAUCAAUUCAGAAAACCAAACUACAUUUACAAACCACCAUCUGAUGUUACCAACACCCCUGACGGAAAAUUUAGGGUAGAUAUGACUGUUGGCAGCUGGAAAAAUCAUAAAGAUGCAUUUUGAUGAGCUGAUGAUGAAAGAAGCUGGUCUUCAGAAACUGUGGAACAAGGUCUGAGCUCACAGCCCCAAAUGGCCAAGGAACCCUAGACUGAGGAAAACCUCCCUGUCCAUCAGCAGUGGAAUGGAUAAAUAAGUUGUGACAUAGACUGACAACUGAAAGCCAC